UCAGAUCAUCUGGAGCAUUCUCUCCCAGCCGGUCAAGUUUAUGGAGGACAGGUAGUGUAGAUAAGGAUCAGGUUCUCAAUGAGCAUGGAGUGCUCUUUUUUUUUGUCUCCGGUAGUAGAUCCUCACAAUAUUAAAUGGUUUUUUUCCCUG
ensembl:ncRNA R13F6.13 ncRNA